CCUACGGGUGGCAGCAGUGGGGAAUUUUGCGCAAUGCUCGUAAGAGUGACGCAGCGACGCCGCGUGAAUGACGAAGGCCUUCGGGUCGUAAAGCUCUUUCGACAGGGAAGAAAAUGCCUAUAAGUAACUGUGUAUGUAUUGACGGUACCUGUAUAAGCAGCCCCGGCUAACUCCGUGCCCGCAGCCGCGGUAAUACGGAGGGGGCGGGCGUUGUUCGGAGUGACUGGGCGUAAAGAGCACGUAGGCGGUGUUGUAAGUCAUUAGUCAAAGACUAGAGCUCAACUUUAGUAAGGCUAGUGAUACUAUAAUACUAGAGUAUGAGAGAAGAAUGCAGAAUGCGUGGUGUAGCGGUGAAAUGCGUAGAUAUCAGGCAGAAUACCGUUAGCGAAGGCGGCAAUCUGGCUGCAAACUGACGCUGAGGUGCGAAAGCGUGGGUAGCGAACAGGAUUAGAUACCCUUGUAGUC
rnacentral:rRNA from 1 species